UCUUUGAUAACUUUCUCAGGAAGAAGAGCGAGGUCGGGCCUGCCUGAGGGGACACUCCCCACCAUCCCUCACGCCGCCGGAAAAUUAAAUAAUGUAAACAGGGACUCUGGUGUGACUGGUUCAGUAUAGGGGAGUCGAGUCUUCAUUCACACGUCUCUUAAGUCUCCGUCAACUGGUGACAGAGCUGGAGUUGGAACCGACACACCAAGCUUCUGUUAGUCUGUCUACCGCUGUUGCUGCUGACUACUGCUUCUGCUGCUGAUUACUGUUUCAACUGCUGACUGCUGUUGACUGUUUCCUGUCGACUAUUGGCUAACGGUUGAUAAAGAGUACUGCUGCUAGUGGCUAUUGCUUCCUGACGAUUGCUGCUGGUUGACGGCUGCUGACAUCACUUGGUAGUGCCUAAUGACUGGUACUCCCUGCUGAACACUGGUUUCAACUAAGAACUGUUUGGCCAGCUAAACUAUUAACGCUACAUCGUAAUGGAUAAUAUUCCCUGAACUGACAAAAAUCCCUGAACACUUGCCUAUAUCCGACACCUACUUGUGGGGCAUAAAUGACCCUUAAGUACUUGUAGACUACAACUGUAAUUAUGAAUAUUGAGUUUUCAAAAGUUUGUUUCGAGAUAGAGUCGCGGCCUUUAAUAAGCACUUUGACCUGACUUCUCUACAAGCAACGUACUGAGUGAUAAACAUCACUGAGUUGGCCUCUCUCCAAGCAACAUUGACUUAUUCAUUG